UGUGACUUCCUCCCACCGCAGCAGCUGGCAGAGCCGGGGCUGCCCCUUCUGCUGGUGCCUCCUUUCAGCCGCGUCUGUCUGGGGUUCCCUUCGUCUGGCCCCGCCCCUCGGGCUGAGCGGGGCGGGGCCAGGCGGUCCGGAGGCUGCGGCAGGCCGGACAGCGGGAGCAGGUGGAGGGCUGGCGGCGGUCGAGAUCGUGCUGCCAUGGCUCAGCCUCUGGGUCCAGAGCCUCAGCUCCUACCUCUUCCCUCCUUGCCAGCCCCUGAUGCCUGCCAGACUUUUGCCUCUGCCGGAGCCCCUGCCUGACCAGCUUCCCCUCCCUGUCUGGUUGGGAUUUGGGGGCUGAGCUGUCUGGGGUCCCAGGGCCAACCAAUGCAGUGCCGGCUCCCACGGGGCCUGGCUGGAGCCCUCCUCACCCUCCUGUGCAUGGGGCUCCUGUGUCUGCGGUACCACUUGAACCUGUCCCCGCAGCGGGUGCAGGAGACCCCUGAGCUGAGCCAGCCGAGCCCGGGGCCCCCUGAGCUGCAGCUACACGAUGUUUUCAUCGCAGUGAAGACGACCCGGGCCUUCCACCGCUUGCGCCUGGAGCUGCUGCUUGACACGUGGGUUUCCAGGACCAGGGAACAGACAUUUGUCUUCACCGACAGCCCAGACAAAGGCCUCCAGGAGAGACUGGGGUCCCACCUUGUGGUCACCAACUGUUCCGCGGAACACAGCCACCCCGCUCUGUCCUGCAAGAUGGCUGCUGAGUUCGACACCUUCUUGGCCAGUGGGCGUAGGUGGUUCUGCCACGUGGACGAUGACAACUAUGUGAACCCAAAAGCGCUGCUGCAGCUGCUGAGAGCCUUCCCGCUGGCCAGCGACGUCUACGUGGGAAGGCCCAGCCUGAACCGGCCCAUCCACGCCUCAGAGCCACAGCCCCACAACCGCACGAGGCUGGUACAGUUCUGGUUCGCCACCGGGGGUGCUGGCUUCUGCAUCAAUCGCAAACUGGCUUUGAAGAUGGCUCCGUGGGCCAGCGGCUCCCGUUUCAUGGACACAUCCGCUCUCAUCCGGCUGCCUGAUGACUGCACCAUGGGCUAUAUCAUUGAGUGCAAGCUGGGCGGCCGCCUGCAGCCCAGCCCCCUCUUCCACUCCCAUCUGGAGACCCUGCAGCUGCUGAGGACUGCGCAGCUCCCAGAACAGGUCACCCUCAGCUACGGUGUCUUUGAGGGGAAACUCAACGUCAUUAAGCUACAGGGCCCCUUCUCCCCAGAGGAGGACCCCUCCAGGUUUCGCUCCCUCCAUUGUCUCCUCUACCCAGAUACACCCUGGUGUCCCCAGCUGGGAGCCCGAUGAAUCCUGAACUGCUGGGCAAAGCCUCACCAAGACGAAGAGCUUUGGGUGGUUCCUCCUGGCGCCAGGAGCCCCUACGUGGGGUUAAUGAUGAUAAGAGAAGUGAGUGUGACUCAGCGGAUGGAAUGUUCCAACACUGUGCUCGUAUCACCAGCUCGAGCCGCAGCCGUCUGCAUGGAGCACCGUUGACAUUGCAGCCGAGCGACCCGCUCCAGGUCCGGCAGAGGCUGACUCACAGCGUCGCGGGACUGGGAAUGGAACACUGGUCUUUUGGGCAUCGUGGACAUCAUACAGGAAGGCAGAGAGGCUGGGGGUGCAUCUGUAAAAUGGGGGUGUGAGAGGCAGGGGCACAGCAAUACCUACCUCACAGGGUUUGUGUAUCAGUCAGGGCUUAUUUCCCAUUGCUGAGCAGAGGCUGGAAAUAUCGAUAAGAGUGGUUUAAACCAUAUCCAGACUUCCCACUCUCUCACCUAACACAGGUCAGGGGGUAGGCGUCCUGGGUUGGUGGGGGCCCCAGUGGUGUUUUCGGGGACCCAGGCUCCUCUCUUUCAGUCCCACCCACCUUAGCAGCCAGCUUCCAUCCUCAAGGUCACCUCAUGUUCCAAGAUGGCUGCUGGGCCUCCAUCAUCACAUCUAACUUUCAGCAGAGAGUGGGCACACACUAGCCCAAUGUUGCUUUCUGUCCUACUUGAUAACUUACACUUGGCCCUCAUUGGCCACUCCUAGCUGCAAGGGAGGCUGAGAAACAGAACCUUUUGGCCAGACACGUUGCCAUCCAAGUGUUUGUUGUAAAGGCAAGUUGGAGACGGGAUAUGGUAGGGGCGCCCCACAGUCUCUGCCACGGCACGCCAGUAGACUCCUGUGCAUCCCAAGGUGCAACCUGUCUGUUUGUCCAAGCGCUGUGACCGUUUCAGCCCAAAUAGCCAGAUAGGUGAGGGGAAAGGAGUCCCACAGGCAAGCACUGGAAACCCGCCCCGUCAGCUGAUUGUGAGUUCAGGAUUUUAUUUCUCCCUUAGUAUCCCGUGGCAGUUCCAGCCUUGGGGAGGGAGGUUCUGUGGACAGUCAUGAAGGGGUCUAAGAAGAGAAGGAGAAGGCUACCAGGCACGGGGCUGUGCCCUGCAGGUAUGUUCCGAGAGGAACUGUGGCGAUAGUGGCAGUAUAGUCAUCUGGCACUGCAGGCAUCGCUCUGAGUUGGGAGGUCUGGGUGGCCCAUCUGGGAGGGCAGGAUAGAGGCACCCCAGGGUCCUGCGGAUGUGGUGACCUGCAGAUGGCAGGCUGCCUGGAAUGGCCUCCUGAGAUUCUGCGGCAGGGCCAGUGACCAAGCCCAUGCUCCUGGUUCCUCACUCUUUCUGCUGGGCCCUGGGAAAGCGUCACGAGGGUUGUGACAGUGAAAGGGAACAUUGAAUCAGGAAGGAACAUUCGCCUCCAUUUUCCCAUUGGUCCUCUCCACAUUGGGUAUGGUGGGCAGAGAUUGUCAUCCCCAUUUUACAGAUGGGAAGACUGUGCAGGUGCAGAGGCUGAGGGAGGCUAAAGAAUGAGGUGGAAGGCACAUGGUGGCAGAGCUGGGCUGGGUCCCUGCGUCCUUCAUUCCUGAGGGGGUUGGGGAUGGCCUGAGUGCAUUUCCUAAUGUGGUACCUUUUCUUUUUUACUUUAACUUAAAAAAAACUGAAUAUAGUUUACAUACAGAAAAGCAAA